AAGGAGCCUUAGUUCUUCAGUUGACCGAAAAUGCCGUCAUAAGUUUCGACGAUUACAUGGAUCAAAAGAAACCGAAUAAAAAUAAAAGGAAUCCGUGGUUCCAAAGGUUCUGGCAAGAGGUCUUUAAAUGUAAGCUGCCAUCAGAAAAAUACAACAGAUCUCACCACUAUAACUUCGGGAAAGUACGACUUUGUACCGGCAAAGAAGACGUCGCUAAAUAUGUCAAUUCAGUGAAAACAGACGCUGAACAUCUUAGCAACGCCAUCAUGGCUUUCGCACAGACAUUACAUAACAUUCAUUGGGACUAUUGUAAAGGAGUUCCGGGAAUAUGUGAUGCAAUGAAACCAUUAUCUGGAGAAGUCUUGAGCAAAUACCUGGAGAGUGUUCGGUUUAAAAGUAUGAGCGGGCAAGUGUUUGAAUUUCAUGCUGAGAGGGAACCAAAAGCGGAAUAUCGUUUAAUGAACUUCCAAAAAAUAUCGCAAGGACAAUACAAAUGGAUCAAUCUGGGAAAAUCAAGAACGAAAUUUUCAAAUGAAACACUCAGAGGAAUAAAAUUUCGUAAUAUCGAACCUGUUUUUCCAGCUUCGUUUUGUAGUUUACCUUGCGAACCUGGUCACAUACAGAUCUCACACAGUGAAGAAGACUGUUGUUUUGUUUGCGUGCCCUGUCCUCCAGAUCAUUACAUGCCCAGUGAAAGAGAGUGCAUACCUUGUCGCAAUGGAACUACACCAACUCUGGACCACCGAGGUUGUGUACCAAGUCUCUCUGGGAACAGAAAGUCAACUUCUGCCGCCGAACGACGCGAACCAACCAAUUCUACGGCAGAAAAAGUAAAGCAAACGACAAGGAGGAAGAAAAUACCAUCAGUGACGAAAAAAGCCGAAAGUGAACGAGGGCGAAACGAGUCCGCAACAAAUAAGCUGCAAUAUGUGUCGAACGAAACGCACUUAAACUAUACCUUGACGAAUUCUUCAGCAGAAAACAUUGAAACGAAGAAUCAAACAUUAGAUUUAGAGAUGGAUGAACUAGCAGGGGUAAAUGAAACGAAAGAAGAGACAGAAUCUUUCCCGGGGAAGAAACAGAAUGAAGUCAGAAAUAAAACAAAAAUAUUGAAACCGAAUAAAAAUGUGAAGCAAAAGGAGGGGAAGAAUAUUACGAUGGUUUCGAAUUCCACGUCGCAAAACUUGACUGAAGAAACAAAGAGCUUACCAGAUGAAAACCUUCAAAACAAUGGUACAAAGGCAAGAAAGAAUCAGAACAGAUCCAUCGAUGAUAUUAAUAAGAACGCUUCUAAAAGUGCUGAGAAUAGCGAGAAGAGUGAGGUGCUCCAGACUGUGGUAACAACUACCGUGUUCUUGGAUGUUUCUAGCAAGAAGAAAAGCACCAGAAAUAGCACCGAGACAAUUACCAAAAGUAAUUCCUCCAAUACUACUGGUAAUGCUACCACUAUUGACACGACUAGAAACAAAACUGCUACUGCAACUAAUACUACUAUUACUACUACUGCCAAUACUACAAGCUCAACAACAACAACAACAACAACAACAACUGCUAGCGCUGCAUCAACUACGGCUACUGCAGCCAAAACCAUUCUUGCUGAUACCGGUGAUACUAACAGUACUGUAACAACUACAGCGUCUGAUAUUGUGAGUACAAAUACAGCAAGUCCAACUACAACCACGACAACGACUGCCACCGACGCUGCUUCUGCUACCACUACCCCUCCCACGACUAGUAACAGUACGAAAAAUUCUAAAGACUUACAGUUAUCAUUUGAGAAAGUUUUUUGAGAAGCAUUUACAAAGUUGCGGUUUUGGUUUCAAUCUCUACCCAAUCUUUAUUUUAUUUUUUGAUAUUAUUUUUUAUUUUUAUUUUUAUUAUACUUUGAGGCGGCGAGCUGGCAGAAUCGUUAGCACGUCGGAAACAAACAAAAAUUGCUUACCAGCAUUUCUCCCGGCUUUUUACGGUUUGAGUUCAAAUCCUGCCGAGGUCAACUUUGCCUUUCAUCCUUUCGGAGUUGAUAAAAUAAAGUACCAGUCAAGUACUGGGGUCGAUAUAUUUGAUUAACCCCUGCUCCUAAAGAAAACUGCUGGCUUUGUACCAAAUUUUAAAACAAUUAUUUUUUUUUUUUUUCGAUACUAUUUUUUAUAUAUUUUUUUUAUUUUUACUUUUGGUUCAACAUCUCUAGCUGACCAACUCAGUCAUGUUUAUAAUGAACAAAACCAGGAGUACACUAGAUGAACACAAAAGGAGUAACAACAACAAGGUAGUAACUCGAGGCAAGCAGCAGAGUAUCUUGAGACAAACUGCUGGUGAUCGUUUGACAUCGCUCCUCAGAACAGAUUAAAUCUCCCUCAAAUGACACCCUACCGUCUUUUCAAUGAGGGAAGAACGCAUUAGAUUGUGUCACCCUAGAUAUCCACAAAAAAUGACGGGAUGGUUACAUUUGGAAUGCCGUUGAUAUGUAUCCUGACUUGUGAUCAAAAACUGACCGGUGGCUAAACAAUGUUCCAACAGAUCUGAUGUCGCUACAAUUACUUUAGAGACAAAAUCAUUAGUUAAUAUCAUUUCGCAGUGGUCUUUAUUAUUGAUAUUAUUGUAUUUCUAUAGUUGUUUUGUUUUUUGUUUUUCUUGUUUAGCCCUGGGUCAACCAUGUUUGAGUAAAUUUAUGAUUAAAGCCAAUCCAACUGUUACCAUCGCCCCAUCUUUUUUCUAAGACAUUGUUUUCUUCCUUACUUAAGACAGUGUGGUGUGUGAUUUGAGGGCGGUUUGACUAUUGUUUCAAGCAGGUACACACACACGCACUCUCUUUCUCUCUUUCUCCCCCCCCCCCUCUCUCUCUCUGGCUUGAUUUCCGUGGACAUUUAUGUCAAUAAACGUGGAAUCAAUACAUGUCAUUUUAUGUAAAUAAACGUGGAAUCAAUACGUCAUUUUAUGUAAAUAACUAUGGAAUCAUGGGAUACGUGUUUGUUAACAUCGUCAUUCUAUCUGCGCAACAAUAAAUAAUAAAUAUUGUUUCUUUAAUUUUCCACCAGGCCCCAGUCGCACACGCGCACUCAAACACACACGCGCGCACAUGUAUGUAUGUAUGUAUGUAUGUAUGUAUGUAUGUAUGUAUGUAUAUAUGUAUGUAUGUGUAGAUAGAUAGAUAGAUAGAUAGAUAGAUAGAUAGAUAGAUAGAUAGAUAGAUAGAUAUAUAGAUAGAUAGAUAGAUAGAUAGAUGGAUGGAUGGAUGGAUGGAUGAAUAUCUAUAUAUGCCUGUAUAUAAAGAUAUAUAUGAAGAGAUAAAAAAAUUAUAAUACAAGAUGGAAUGAACAAGCUUUAAUCAAAACACUACAAUUGUUUCUAUGCGUUAGUACAAGCUGAGUAAUAACACUAUGGGAGUAUUACCCAGGUUACAUAUAUGUAAACAUACAUACAUACAUACAUACAUACAAACAUACAUACAUACAUACAAAAAUACCUGUUGUUGAUGUUGAAAUUCCAGUGAAAGAACCUUGGAUCUAGGUUAGAAACCGGCUCUUUCUCCAUUCGCAAGAAACCUUGAAAUAAACUGAAUAAUGACAUACAUAUGUAUAUUUAUGCAUGCAUGUAUGUAUGUAUGUAUAUAAUACAUGCAUAUGCGAGUAUUUAUAUAUGUGUGUGUGUGUGUGUGUGUGUGUGUGUGUGUGUGUGUGUGUGUGUGUGUGUGUGUGUGUGUGUGUGUAUAUUUAAGGGGAAAUUCACAAAAAAACAAGAGACGAAGACAUGUGGUGUAGACAACUAACUGAUGUAUUAGUAUAACGCUCGGGAAGUGAAAAAGUCUUUGACGUUUCGAGCCUACGCUCUUCCACAGAAAGGGACACAGAAAGAAACAAGGAGAGAAAAUAAAGAAUGUGUAGUGGCUAGCGAUCUAUCCAUGUGUGUGUGUACGUCUGUAGGUGCAUGAGUAUGUGUUUAAGUGCAUACGUAUAAAACAAUGAAGGCAACACCAUCUACGUGAGUAAUAAGUUGCCGCCCCUAUCUGAUCAGGGCACCCCACGAUCCAGACCUUCCACAUCCACGUACGACGUAUGCAACUAUUGAAAAUGGUUGGUUUCGAAAGCUCCAAUGAGCUAACCAACUGAAAUGUCAAAGUAAGCAGGAAGAAGAGGUUCCUGUCUUGAUACAGAAUUUCACUACCAUGUAAAGUGGUUUUUCACCAGCAUUCUAUAUUUUGUAAAGUCCUCUAUAAUCAGGCCCCAUCUCCUAGAAAAUCUGAAUUCGACAUUUUCCCAGAUCUUAUUGAAGGUCAUUUUAAUUGACCAUCAUUUAGUCAUUUGCUAUUUGGAUCAAUAGGAAUUCAGGCAUACCCAAGAAGAGAUGAGCUUCACGCACAUUUUAUUGACCUUCCCUUCAGAUAUACUUUUCCAUUUUCUUUUUGUUCCUUUCUCUGCCUUUGUCGCUCUGAUACUCCUUAACUAAUCCAUUUCCUUCUCGUUGUCUCAAGACGAUGAAGCUGUGAUGUUUCCACUUUUUAUGGUCAGAACAGGGGUUCCUAAUCGUCUGAGGGCAAGGCAAUCUCUUAGGCUGUUUCCGGAGCCCAUUUCUAUAGCCCGCUGUCAUUGUUGUGGACUCUACUGCUUUGUUCUAAGUUCCUCCGAGCAAAACCUCUCUAACCUCACUGUGCCCGUCUGCGUAACAGAUGCUUUCUACUCCACAUCAACAAAUUCAUUGCUUUUCUUUUUGCGCCCACGAUGGGGCACAACUCCAUGCAGAUCCUCCCGACCAUCUGUCGCACUAGUCAACUCGGUGCUCACUACUGCUCGUAUUGUGCCACAAAGGUAACAACGAGCCAAAGUUCAGCAUUUCACGAUCUUCGGACUGAUUCAUCUCAUAUAUUGCAGCAUUAGCACGACAUAUGAUUUAACAGUGCGCACUACUUUUUCACCCACUAUGCAAUUCUGAAGUCCCGGCAUUCUGUUCCCUGAUUCUUACCCAUGUCGACGGGGAGUUGUUGCUCCACACAUCAGCCAAGAUUACUUUUAUUUGUUGCUUUGAGGAUAUAAGAGAAGCUCCUGUGCUUUCAGAAAUGCAGGGAUAUAUGAGACCUUCUGCCUUGCUCGCUCUUGGAUAAAGACUUCGGGUAGGGAGUCAUUUUGGUGGUGAACAUGUCUUUUUUCUAUUAGAUCACACAUUUCCAAUUCUUCUCUUUGACUAGCAACACUGACGAAAGAAUUGAUGAAGUACUGUAUGUAUUGCUCAAAACCACACAUUCACUUUUCAUUAAAUGGGCUUGAUUUCACCACUUGGCAAAAUGCAUUGUUUUUGAUUUUUUUGUUGUUGUUAACAGUAUCAUUCAAAUUGUUCCAAAUAUUGUAUUUAAAUGUUGAUAUAUUAAUUUUUCGUGUACAAAUCGUGGGUUUUAUUGUGAAAUUAAAUUUGUUCUCAGUCA